rnacentral:lncRNA from 1 species
CAUUGACUGUUAAGGAAUUGUAAUAAGGUACAAGGAGCCAAUUGAUUGCUCAAGUGUAAACACUGUGCUCCUCAUUUAAAGUCUAAUAAUUUCCCCAAUCAAAAAGCUCUCCUGUCUAUAAAUUAUCCCACCAUCUCUCACUGAAGAAAACAGAUCCUUUCAAAAAGUGUUCAAGGACCUUCAUACUCCUAAAGACAUGGAACAGAUUGAAAAGUGAGACUCUAAUAAUCAAAAAUGAUCCCAGAUACUACAUGACACUAUGCUCAGGAUCAUGGAAGAGAAGAAGGGCAGAGUCUGUCUGUAAGAGGUGCAUAGGGGAGCAAUUCUCAUGUUCAGUGCAUGAAACUUGAUGAGCUUGGAAAAGAAAAGGAUUCAGGGAGAGAAACAAAUUCAGGUAUCAUUCUUGACACUACCUGGAGAAACAGUAUGGAG